UUACUGGGCGUAAAGCGUGCGUAGGCGGUUUAUUAAGUCAGAUGUGAAAGCCCCGGGCUUAACCUGGGAACUGCAUUUGAAACUGGUAAACUAGAGUAUGGUAGAGGAGAGUAGAAUUUCUGGUGUAGCGGUGAAAUGCGUAGAUAUCAGAAGGAAUACCAAUGGCGAAGGCAGCUCUCUGGCUCGUCACUGACGCUGAGGUGCGAAAGCGUGGGUAGCAAACAGGAUUAGAUACCCUGGUAGUCCACGCCGUAAACGAUGAGAACUAGCCGUUGGGCAGAUUUAACUGUUCAGUGGCACAGCUAACGCAUUAAGUUCUCCGCCUGGGGAGUACGGCCGCAAGGCUAAAACUCAAAUGAAUUGACGGGGACCCGCACAAGUGGUGGAGCAUGUGGUUUAAUUCGAUGCAGCGCGAAGAACCUUACCAACCCUUGAAAUCUAGCGAAGUUCACAGAGAUGAGAAUGUGCCUUCGGGAACGCUAUGACAGGUGUCGCAUGGCUGUCGUCAGCUCGUGUCGUGAGAUGUAUGGUUAAGUCCAGUAACGAGCGCAACCCCUAUCCUUAUUUGCCAGCGCGUUAAGGCGGGAACUAUAGGGAGACUGCCGGGUGAAACCCGGAGGAAGGCGGGGACGAGGUCAAGUCAUCAUGGCCCUUAUGGGUUGGGCUACACACGUGCUACAAUGGGAAGUACAGAGGGACGCUAAAGCGCGAGCUGGAGCCAAACCCUUAAAACUUUUCUUAGUCCGGAUUGGAGUCUGCAACUCGACUCCAUGAAGUCGGAAUCACUAGUAAUCGCGAAUCAGAAUGUCGCGGUGAAUACGUUCUCGGGCCUUGUACACACCGCCCGUCACAUCAUGGAAGUGGGUUGCACCAGAAGUGGUUAGUCUAACCUUCGGGAAGACGAUCACCACGGUGUGAUUCAUGACUGGGAUGAAGUCGUA
rnacentral:rRNA from 1 species